CGGGUGCACUGAUCCAGCCGGGCCUUUCCCUCUGUGGAACCCCAUGGCCUUCACUGGCCGUGGUGGGGAAACAGGACUUUUACUUUGAAAAAAUUAGAGUGCUCCAGGCAGGCCUAUGCUCGAAUACAUUAGCAUGGAAUAAUAGAAUAGGACGUGUGGUUCUAUUUUGUUGGUUUCUAGGACCGCCGUAAUGAUUAAUAGGGACAGUCGGGGGCAUCAGUAUUCAAUUGUCAGAGGUGAAAUUCUUGGAUCUAUUGAAGACUAACUACUGCGAAAGCAUUUGCCAAGGAUGUUUUCAUUGAUAAGGAACGAAAGUUAGGGGAUCGAAGACGAUCAGAUACCGUCGUAGUCUUAACUAUAAACUAUGCCGACUAGGGAUCGGACGAUGUUAUUCUUUGACGCGUUCGGCACCUUUCGAGAAAUCAAAGUGCUUGGGCUCCAGGGGGAGUAUGGUCGCAAGGCUGAAACUUAAAGAAAUUGACGGAAGGGCACCACCAGGGGUGGAACCUGCGGCUUAAUUUGACUCAACACGGGGAAACUCACCAGGUCCAGACACAGUGAGGAUUGACAGAUUGAGAGCUCUUUCUUGAUUCUGUGGGUGGUGGUGCAUGGCCGUUCUUAGUUGGUGGAGUGAUUUGUCUGCUUAAUUGCGAUAACGAACGAGACCUUAACCUGCUAAAUAGCCCGUACUGCUUUGGCAGUUCGCCGGCUUCUUAGAGGGACUAUCGG
rnacentral:rRNA from 1 species